rnacentral:misc_RNA from 1 species
GAUGAAGAACCGCAGCGAAAUGCGAUAAGUAAUGUGAAUUGCAGAAUUCAGUGAAUCAUCGAAUCUUUGAACGCACAUUGCGCCCCUUGGUAUUCCGAGGGGCAUGCCUGUUCGAGCGUCAUUAUAACCCUCAAGCUCAGCUUGGUGUUGGGGCCUGCUGCACUGGCAGCCCUUAAAAUCAGUGGCGGCGCCAUCUGGCUCUAAGCGUAGUAAUUCUUCUCGCUAUGGAGUCCUGGUGGAUGCUUGCCAUCAACCCCCAAUUUUUCUAUGGUUGACCUCGGAUCAGGUAGGGAUACCCGCUGAACUUAAGCAUAUCAAUAAGCGGAGGA